UAUGAAGGGUGCAAACGUUGCUCGGAAUCAUUGGGCGUAAAGCGCACGUAGGCGGCUUCGCAAGUCGGAUGUGAAAUCCCUCGGCUCAACCGAGGACGUGCAUACGAAACUGCGAAGCUUGAGUACUGAAGAGGAUCGCGGAAUUCUCGGUGUAGAGGUGAAAUUCGUAGAUAUCGGGAGGAACACCAGUGGCGAAGGCGGCCACCUGGCCGAACACUGACGCUGAGACGCGAAAGCGUGGGGAGCAAACAGG
rnacentral:rRNA from 1 species